UACGUCCUACGGGAGAAAGCAGGGGACCUUCGGGCCUUGCGCUAUCAGAUGAGCCUGGUCGGAUUAGCUGUUGGUGGGGUAAUGGCUCACCAAGGCGACGAUCCGUAACUGGUCUGAGAGGAUGAUCAGUCACACUGGAACUGAGACACGGUCCAGACUCCUACGGGAGGCAGCAGUGGGGAAUAUUGGACAAUGGGCGAAAGCCUGAUCCAGCCAUGCCGCGUGUGUGAAGAAGGUCUUCGGUUGUAAAGCACUUUAAGUUGGGAGGAAGGGUUGUAGAUUAAUACUCUGCAAUUUUGACGUUACCGACAGAAUAAGCACCGGCUAACUCUGUGCCAGCAGCCGCGGUAAUACAGAGGGUGCAAGCGUUAAUCGGAAUUACUGGGCGUAAAGCGCGCGUAGGUGGUUUGUUAAGUUGGAUGUGAAAUCCCCGGGCUCAACCUGGGAACUGCAUUCAAAACUGACUGACUAGAGUAUGGUAGAGGGUGGUGGAUUUCCUGUGUAGCGGUGAAAUGCGUAGAUAUAGGAAGGAACACCAGUGGCGAAGGCGACCACCUGGACUAAUACUGACACUGAGGUGCGAAAGCGUGGGGAGCAAACAGGAUUAGAUACCCUGGUAGUCCGACGCCGUAAACGAUGUCAACUAGCCGUUGGAAGCCUUGAGCUUUUAGUGGCGCAGCUAACGCAUUAAGUUGACCGCCUGGGGAGUACGGGCCGCAAGGUUAAAACUCAAAUGAAUUGACGGGGGCCCGCACAAGCGGUGGAGCAUGUGGUUUAAUUCCGAAGCAACGCGAAGAACCUUUACCAAGGCCUUGACAUCCCAUGAAACUUUCUAG
rnacentral:rRNA from 1 species